rnacentral:rRNA from 1 species
GAUUUCUGGUUCGGCGCACUUGGCCCGCCUCGGUUUACGGGGUUGUGUGCCGGUGUGCGCCAUCCAUCCAUCGAGUGAACAAUUCUGCCCUUCAUUGGGUUGGAGUUGAUUAUAACUCGAUCUUUUACUUUGAAAAAAUUAGAGUGUUUAAAGCAGGCUUGCGCUAUGAAUACAUUAGCAUGGAAUAAUAAUUUAGGACUUUGGUCUUAUUUUGUUGGUUUCUAGGACUAAAGUAAUGAUUGAUAGGGACAGUUGGGGGUGCUAGUAUUCAGCGGCCAGAGGUGAAAUUCUUGGAUUCGCUGAAGACUAACUUAUGCGAAAGCAUU